rnacentral:lncRNA from 1 species
UCAAAAAGAAAAAUCUUCAGUCCCUUCCUUUUUCUGGGUGCUCAGAGAGAUACCAAAGGGGCUCAUGUAACAGCAGAGGUGCUCAAAGAUCAAGAUCCCCUGAAUGACAGAAAAGAACAGAUUUGAGAUAUAUCCCUUCCUCCUAGUCCUACAUCCAGACUGGGUAGGCCUGAUCUCUGCUAGGUGGAAACUGACUUUUUGCUUGUAGAAACCAUAGGCAACAGACAGAAAGUAAUAAUCUCCCUUUGAACCAGGUGGAAAGUAGGUAUGGGGGUAGGGGGUAUAGGGUAAAGAGAAGAAUUUCACUCUCAUUGUCCCUGAAGACACAGUGGGCUGCCAGAGCACAAGCUCUGGAAUCUGCAUGUCUGGGUUCAAGUCAUCAGACUUUUCCUGUGUGGCCUUGGGUAAACUGCUUAACUAAGAAUGGUGAUAAUGGCAUGACUUGGAGAUAAUUCUCUUAAGGCACUCAGUUCGGCACCUUGCCUAUAGUGCUCAGGAUAGUUAGCAAGCCUCAAAGAGUGUGGGCAGCAUAUGCCUUUGCAGACAAUGAAGUCUAGAGAAGGGCCCCUCCCCAGCCUGCGAUCACCCAGGCACUCAGCCCACAUUGUCACCCUCCCACUGUGUAUCUCUAAAAAGAUGGAGCUCCCUGUCCAGCUGGUGUCUGAGAUCCCAGGAUUUUUUGUUUGUUUGUUUUGUUCAGUGACUGUGCAUUAAAUGUCAGCUUGGUUUCCUCUCUCUCUGUACUCAAGGGAACUUCACAAUGUUGGACACUGAGCUUCCAUGCACCUGGUCUAAAACGAGGAAGAGCAUAAGUAACAUAUGUGCUAAGUGGCCAGGAAUGAGGAAAGGGCUGCAUCCAUCCUGUCUGCCUCCCGUCCAAUGCAGAGGAAAGCCUGCACCCCUCCUUGGUCUGUCUCAAUCUGCAUUUUGCCAGUAAGACUUGCUGGGCCUCCACUCGGGUUAAGGUCGAUGAAUAAAACCAGAGAACUUAAAAAGAGGAAACAUCAACACUGAAGAGGUCAUGGGGAAGAGGAAGGAAAGUACGGUAAAUAUUCAGCAAUCGUUUUCAUUUCCCUGUCUCAUGGAAAAAGCUCUGGGCACAUUCCCUAAGGAUGGGAUGGAAACCACUGGUCUUUGAUGAAAGAUGGGCAAGUGGAGACACUUAGCUACAGGCUCAGCCUAUUUCUCUAGGAAUUAGACAUCUGGGUGAAAAUCCCUGCCAAAAAAUCCAUGAAGUUUCCAGAUGUUUCCAACUACCCAUACAUUGGGUGGUAUAUAGACCCCGCUGCUUUCUCUAGUGAGAAGUAAAAUAAUUUUCAACAAUGUUUCUGAGUACUGGGUUUUCCAUUCUGGUUUUGACAGUUUCUCUGUAGAGUCACUUGACUUCCAGAAGACACCAUCAUCUCCAGUGUUGGGAUGGCUCAGGAACCUAACGUACCUCCCAGAGCUCUGCUCAGCCACAAGAGGAGACUGACCUCUCACACGUGUCCCAAAAGAAUUAAGAACCCACACUCUAUCAUCAAACCACCAGGCAGAUGCCAUCCCCAGGACAAUGCAGCCCAUCCAAGGUUCCCCAUCAAGCACUGCUGACCUUACAGCCUUUGAUCCAUGAGGGUUAAUGAAACCUCUUCCCUUUUUAGUUUUACCCAACCCUGCUUGUUGUAAAUAUUUUCUUGUCAAGAACAUGAGAGGAGCAGCCUAAAAAUAAUGUGGGUUGCCAGUGAGCCCCAGUCCUCAGCAGUUUCCAAUGUGCUCUUUUGCUGUCUGCUGCCCUCCAUCCACAAUGAGAUGAUUUUUCAUAUACUCAUCACAUUUGUGUUAUGUCAUGCCAUAUUAUAUUUUAGAACAUUGCUCAAAAAUGGGUUUGAUGGAUAACUUUUGUUCUUAGAAACUAUGACUUUUCUAUUCUCCACAACCCCCUAAUCAGGCACCUGCUAUCAAUUUGACUUGCAUGUAACCAGAAUUCUCAGAACUUGUUGGUUGCUCCUGCUGGCUCCUGUCCAUGUAUGCCAAGAGGACAUGAUGGCAAGCGGAUUAGAACCAGAGAUGAUGAUCCUUCCAUCCCCCUCUGGGCAUCCUCCUCAGCUUCAAGAGCUACAGAUGCAAGAGCAUGAUGGGCAUCCUCCUCAGCUUCAAGAGCUACAGAUGCAAAAGCAUGAAUGAAGUCCUGCCUGUGUUGCCUGACUUUGUCACUGAGACCAGAAGGAGACCCCAUGCGGAAUCAACUAGCAAACACAAACAGCUGCCUGGUGCUGCAGGGCAAACAGACUUGAUGAUGAAAUUCUCAAAAUUCAUCAUUGCCUAAUUUUUUUUUUUUUUAGAAAUAUGCACCAUUUUGUUAGCCAAAGUGCAGAUUUUCGUAGAGAAAACAGGAAAAUUAUUGAUAUGGGUACACUCACAACGUGCUAAAUACAAACUAAACAGAUAACCCAUAAGGCAGAAAAUAUAACCCCUCCCCGACUCCAUUUCUGCCUUUGUCCCUUUCCAUCUGCAUGGCUGUCCCCCACCCUGGCAAGUGCUCUGCCUCUCCCAAGAGCAUUUUUGGGGGUCCAGCCAGGUAGCACCACCUUCCUUAUCCCUUAGUCCUUCCUGCUGCUCAGAGAGGAAUUUUCUGGAGCUGGGCUCUAAUCAGUGCACAGAGGUGGGAUGGAGAUGAGUUUUUUUAAAAUAUAAUUUAUCACGCAUUUGCACCCAUUGUUCUCCCAACCAGAUUGCAAACCACUAGGAUACAGGGUCAUGUCUAGUUUCUCUUGCCUGCCCUCCCCUCCCCAGCUCCCAAAUUAGACAUGGCAGAGUAUCUUUACUACACUGGGCUGGCAAUUCAUGUUUUACACUGAAUAAGUAGAUAAGGCAGAAUUGUCUAUUUUUAUGUUGUUUUUUGGCAGGUCCCUGCCA